UACGGAGGGGGCUAGCGUUGUUCGGAAUUACUGGGCGUAAAGCGCACGUAGGCGGACUGUUAAGUCGGGGGGUGAAAAUCCUGGGGCUCAACCUCAGAAUUGCCUCCGAUACUGGCAGUCUCGAGUGCGGGAGAGGUGAGUGGAAUUCCCAGUGUAGAGGUGAAAUUCGUAGAUAUUGGGAAGAACACCAGUGGCGAAGGCGGCUCACUGGCCCGUAACUGACGCUGAGGUGCGAAAGCGUGGGGAGCAAACAGG
rnacentral:rRNA from 1 species